AACAGGUGUUAAGAGGAAGAGAGGAGCAAGCAUAUAUAUAUGGCACUCCAGGAAGAUGAAGGUGGGAUUAUAGAAGUGCUGUUAGUACCAGGGACACUGGACAAGAAAGAUAAGCAAGCCACUGCUGUCUGAUUCCUACAUAGCAGGUUAAAGUGUUGGAUUCAUAAUUCUCACUUCAGGAAGACUGAAAACCAGACUUUAUUCUGCUAGAUCCCAAGAUAUCAAGGAAGAGGAAAAGGGAAGAGCCCCAGGCACUAUUAAACCACAGCUACAAUCACUGCCAUUUGAAACUUCCCACCAAACAACUUUACUAUUCUGAUUUAAUUUCAACUCCCAGGGAGAGUUAGUAUUAAGAGGAAGUACCUAUCAUCCAUGAUAAUCCACCAGCUCUGGGGGUUUAGAAGGGAAAGGAUGGAGGUCUCAGUGCUUGAGGCUAGGCUGACAGCUGAGCAGGGCUCCAGCUCACCUUAAUCUCACUCCUGUGGAUGCCUGCACUAGGGGCCUGAGCAUUCUCCCAGAUCUCUGCAUAGGAGGCUGCCCUUAGGCAUUAUUAAGGUGUGAAAGCAGCAAGAAAGAGCAGAAUUAAACUGCUUUUCUCUAAUGUAUCCUUUUACAGCCCAGUGUAUUUUGCCCUAGGCUAGCCUUUUCUUCUCCUUUCACCCUCCACAUGCCAGUCCGAGACAGCCUUUCUUCUCACAGGAAUUAUUGUAUUAUUUCUUAAAUUCUUUUUUUCUUCUCCAUGGCUUUUCUAGAGGAAACCUAACAGUGUGGGUUUAUCAAUCAUUUUGACAAGACUCUGAAUUCCACUGAACAGAUUUUUGAAUAAAAAUUAUGAACAAAGAAAGUGUAGUAAAUCUGCUAAUAGAAAAACUGACUAUGCCUUGUGGGAAAAUUUUUGUGUGUGUGACAUUCCAUCGUGUACCUGCCAGAGAAGAAAACAAUUGGGCCUGUUACUCAAAUUGUUCAAUUUUUAAGCAGGUCCAUUGUUAUGAUUGGACUUUAUUCCAAUAUAAGCACUUGCAAAAGGAUGACAUAAAGUGAGAAUAUAAUAGAAUGAUUAUAUGUAAUGAGUUUACUGAAGAACUUCUACAUCUUGGAGUACAAACAAUGUUUUGGAUUUUUUUGUUUGUUUGUUUUUUUCCCAUCAUUUUCGGCAGUGUUUUCUUGCAUUUCUCCUUGCAAGCCUUUUAAACAAUAUCAUCUACAAUUUUCUGCUUGCUUAUGAUUAUCAAAAUUAAACCCAAUUCUAUUUAUUU
rnacentral:lncRNA from 10 species